GACGUAGGGGGCAAGCGUUGUUCGGAAUUAUUGGGCGUAAAGCGCACGUAGGCGGCUUUGCAAGUCGGAUGUGAAAUCCCUCGGCUUAACCAAGGAAGUGCAUCCGAAACUGCAGAGCUUGAGUACUUAAGAGGAUCGCGGAAUUCCCGGUGUAGAGGUGAAAUUCGUAGAUAUCGGGAGGAACACCAGUGGCGAAGGCGGCGAUCUGGGAAGAUACUGACGCUGAGGUGCGAAAGCGUGGGGAGCAAACAGG
rnacentral:rRNA from 1 species